rnacentral:rRNA from 1 species
CACGUAGGGCGCAAGCGUUGUCCGGAAUUAUUGGGCGUAAAGAGCUCGUAGGCGGACUGUUGCGUCCGCUGUGAAAAGCUGGGGCUUAACCCUGGCCUUGCAGUGGAUACGGGCAGACUAGAGGUAGGUAGGGGAGAAUGGAAUUCCCGGUGUAGCGGUGAAAUGCGCAGAUAUCGGGAAGAACACCCGUGGCGAAGGCGGUUCUCUGGGACGGUACUGACGCUGAGACGCGAAAGCGUGGGGAGCAAACAGG